rnacentral:rRNA from 1 species
CCCUAUUAUUUUUACUGUAAAAUAAAUAAAACUAGAGUACUAUUAGUUAUGAUCUUUAAACUUAAAGAAUUUGGCGGUAUUAUAGUCUAUUUAGAGGAAUCUGUUAUGUAAUUGAUAAUCCGCGCUGAACCUUACUUAUGUUAAUUCUUGUAUACCACUGUUUAGAAUACACUUUUAGGUGUUGUUUCUAAAUAUAUUAUUUAAUAAAAUUUCAAGUCAAGGUGCAGUAAUAUAUAAGUUGAAUAAUGGAUUACAAUAAAUUUUAUUUAUUAUGAAUUGUUAUUGAAAAUUAAUUUGAAGGUGGAUUUAAUAGUAAUUUUAUGAAGAUUGUUAAAAUGAUUAAAAGCUCUAUAAUG